rnacentral:rRNA from 1 species
AGUGAACGCUGGCGGUAGGCCUAACACAUGCAAGUCGAACGGCAGCACAGUAAGAGCUUGCUCUUACGGGUGGCGAGUGGCGGACGGGUGAGGAAUACAUCGGAAUCUACUUUUUCGUGGGGGAUAACGUAGGGAAACUUACGCUAAUACCGCAUACGACCUACGUGUGAAAGCAGUGGAUCUUCGGACCUUGCGCGAUUUAAUGAGCCGAUGUCGGAUUAGCUAGUUGGCGGGGUAAAGGCCCACCAAGGCGACGAUCCGUCGCUGGUCUGAGAGGAGGACCAGCAAAACUGGAACGAAAACACGGUCAAGACUCUAAAGGAGGGAGCAAGUGGGAAUAAUUGGAAAGAGAGGGAAAGCUAGACCAAGAAAGACCGGGUAGGGGAGAAAGGCCUUGGGGUGGAAAGGCCUGUUGUAAGGGAAGAAAAAGCAGAAGGUUAAAACCCCGAUGUUGUGAAGGUACCAAAAGAAAAAGCACCGGCUAACUACGUG